GGAAGACAGAGAAACCAUGGUAACUGUGGAUCAUGCCAGCCUGAACCAAAGCAGACACCAAUCUCAUUAGUGGGCACUUGAUUUCUCUGAUUUUGUAUUUGAAGAACUUGAGAGCAAUGGAAAUCUUUGAAAAUCGGAUGUGGACAACUUGAACCCAAUCUACUUUAUGGCCAUUGUCUCCUGGCACUGGGUUCCAGCUGCUUCUUCUAGGACAAAUUUGAAUCAUUAACUCAGUGCCCAGGUUUGAUUUGUCCUACACUCAGCUGUCUUUGAGGUCACAGUUCGUUAUUGAGGGAAUUCAGAAAGUCCAGCAGGAACUUGAAGCAGAAACCACAGAGGAAUGCUGCCUGCUGACUCACUGCAGACCUAUGCUUAGCUAGCUGUCUUAAACAACUCAGGACCACCUUGCCCAGGGCUUUCCAAUACACGGGCAUUUACUUGGAGGAAAGAUCCACAGAUCUCCCUAGAGAUGGAACAAGAAUGUGAGAAACAGAACGACACCCUCUGCACUCAAGACAAGGAAUGCCUUUGCGAACCACUCAGUGGGUUUUGAAAGCAUCAGGUGACUGGAGAGAGGGCAACUGAAGUAUGGAGCAACUGACCUGCGCUAGAAAUGACCUUGAACUCAGACAUCUAGAAUAGGGUCUGACACACGGUCAUUAUUAACCUUGGUCAGCAUCCCUGGAAAAUGCUCGUGUUUUCACAUGGUUCCACAAAACAAGGCACAAGGGUACUAGGUGUUGGGAUUGUGCUUUGACCUCUCAUUUAUCUAAUAUGUUCACACCCCAUCCUACCUUAUGACAGGCAAUAA